rnacentral:sRNA from 1 species
AAUUUUAACCUCUUAA